rnacentral:rRNA from 1 species
AUUGAACGCUGGCGGCAGGCCUAACACAUGCAAGUCGAGCGGCUGAAGGGAGCUUGCUCCUGGAUUCAGCGGCGGACGGGUGAGUAAUGCCUAGGAAUCUGCCUGGUGGUGGGGGAUAACGUCCGGAAACGGGCGCUAAUACCGCAUACGUCCUGAGGGAGAAAGUGGGGGAUCUUCGGACCUCACGCUAUCAGAUGAGCCUAGGUCGGAUUAGCUAGUUGGUGGGGUAAAGGCCUACCAAGGCGACGAUCCGUAACUGGUCUGAGAGGAUGAUCAGUCACACUGGAACUGAGACACGGUCCAGACUCCUACGGGAGGCAGCAGUGGGGAAUAUUGGACAAUGGGCGAAAGCCUGAUCCAGCCAUGCUGCGUGUGUGAAGAAGGUCUUCGGAUUGUAAAGCACUUUAAGUUGGGAGGAAGGGCAGUAAGUUAAUACCUUGCUGUUUUGACGUUACCAACAGAAUAAGCACCGGCUAACUUCGUG